rnacentral:rRNA from 1 species
GAUGAACGCUGUCUACAGGCUUAACACAUGCAAGUCGAGGGGAAACGACGGGGAAGCUUGCUUCCCCGGGCGUCGACCGGCGCACGGGUGAGUAACGCGUAUCCAACCUGCCUCUGACUGAGGGAUAACCCGUCGAAAGUCGGCCUAAUACCUCAUGGCAUCGUCUGCGGGCAUCCAACGACGAUUAAAGAUUUCAUCGGUCAGGGAUGGGGAUGCGUCUGAUUAGCUUGUUGGCGGGGUAACGGCCCACCAAGGCUACGAUCAGUAGGGGUUCUGAGAGGAAGGUCCCCCACAUUGGAACUGAGACACGGUCCAAACUCCUACGGGAGGCAGCAGUGAGGAAUAGUGGUCAAGGGGCGGGAGCCUGAACCAGCCAAGUAGCGUGCAGGAGGACGGCCCUAUGGGUUGUAAACUGCUUUUAUGCGGGGAUAAAGUGAGGGACGGGCCCUUCAUUGCAGGUACCGCAUGAAUAAGGACCGGCUAAUUCCGUG